GACGAACGCUGGCGGCGUGCCUAAUACAUGCAAGUCGAGCGCAGGAAAUCAUCCGAACCCUUCGGGGGGACGUUGGUGGAAUGAGCGGCGGACGGGUGAGUAACACGUAAAGAACCUGCCCUCAGGUCUGGGAUAACCACGAGAAAUCGGGGCUAAUACCGGAUGGGUCAUCGGACCGCAUGGCCCGAGGAUGAAAGGCGCUUCAGCGUCGCCUGGGGAUGGCUUUGCGGUGCAUUAGCUAGUUGGUGGGGUAAUGGCCCACCAAGGCGACGAUGCAUAGCCGACCUGAGAGGGUGAUCGGCCACACUGGGACUGAGACACGGCCCAGACUCCUACGGGAGGCAGCAGUAGGGAAUCUUCCACAAUGGACGAAAGUCUGAUGGAGCAACGCCGCGUGAACGAUGAAGGCCUUCGGGUCGUAAAGUUCUGUUGUAAGGGAAGAACAAGUGCCGCAGGCAAUGGCGGCACCUUGACGGUACCUUGCGAGAAAGCCACGGCUAACUACGUGCCAGCCGCCGCAGUAA
rnacentral:rRNA from 1 species